rnacentral:rRNA from 1 species
UGGGUAACCUGCCUCAAAGAGGGGAAUAGCCUCCCGAAAGGGAGAUUAAUACCGCAUAAUAUGUUUAAGUCGCAUGACUUUAACAUCAAAGGAUUUUCUUUUAGAACUUCCACUUUGAGAUGGACCCGCGGCGCAUUAGCUAGUUGGUGAGGUAACGGCUCACCAAGGCAACGAUGCGUAGCCGACCUGGAGAGGGUGAUCGGCCACAUUGGAACUGAGACACGGUCAGACUCCUAGGAG